UGGAAGUAAAAGUCGUAACAAGGUCUCCGUUGGUGAACCAGCGGAGGGAUCAUUACCGAGUUUACAACUCCCAAACCCAAUGUGAACGUUACCAAACUGUUGCCUCGGCGGGAUCUCUGCCCCGGGUGCGUCGCAGCCCCGGACCAAGGCGCCCGCCGGAGGACCAACCAAAACUCUUAUUGUAUACCCCCUCGCGGGUUUUUUUAUAAUCUGAGCCUUCUCGGCGCCCCUCGUGGGCGUUUCGAAAAUGAAUCAAAACUUUCAACAACGGAUCUCUUGGUUCUGGCAUCGAUGAAGAACGCAGCGAAAUGCGAUAAGUAAUGUGAAUUGCAGAAUUCAGUGAAUCAUCGAAUCUUUGAACGCACAUUGCGCCCGCCAGUAUUCUGGCGGGCAUGCCUGUCCGAGCGUCAUUUCAACCCUCGAACCCCUCCGGGGGGUCGGCGUUGGGGAUCGGCCCUCCCUCUGCGGGGGCCGUCUCCGAAAUACAGUGGCGGUCUCGCCGCAGCCUCUCCUGCGCAGUAGUUUGCACACUCGCACCGGGAGCGCGGCGCGUCCACAGCCGUUAAACACCCAACUUUCUGAAAUGUUGACCUCGGAUCAGGUAGGAAUACCCGCUGAACUUAAGCAUAUCAAUAAGCGGAGGA
rnacentral:rRNA from 3 species